rnacentral:rRNA from 1 species
GACGAACGCUGGCGGCGUGCUUAACACAUGCAAGUCGAACGGUAAGGCCCUUCGGGGUACACGAGUGGCGAACGGGUGAGUAACACGUGGGUGAUCUGCCCUGCACUUCGGGAUAAGCCUGGGAAACUGGGUCUAAUACCGGAUAGGACUCCGGACUGCAUGGUCUGGGGUGGAAAGCGUUUGCGGUGUGGGAUGGGCCCGCGGCCUAUCAGCUUGUUGGUGGGGUGAUGGCCUACCAAGCGACGACGGGUAGCCGGCCUGAGAGGGUGACCGGCCACACUGGGACUGAGAUACGGCCCAGACUCCUACGGGAGGCAGCAGUGGGGAAUAUUGCACAAUGGGCGCAAGCCUGAUGCAGCGACGCCGCGUGAGGGAUGACGGCCUUCGGGUUGUAAACCUCUUUCAGCACAGACGAAGCGCAAGUGACGGUAGUAGCAGAAGAAGGACCGGCCAACUACGUGCCAGCCGCCGCAGUAA